UGCCUCCCCAUCUAAGCAACGGAA
rnacentral:siRNA from 1 species